CUACCAGAGGUCCUGGAACAUCCGGAAUCCCAAGGAGUGACGUCAUCCCCGUGUUGGAACUCCAACCCGUUCCCAUGCCAACGCCCAGCCUGCUUAAAGGGAUACUUCACCGGUGGAGACAUGAAUCUGUAUUGAAAGUGGGUCAUAUAUUUAGUCGAAUAGUAACAUAAAUUUCGAUUUUUUUGCCUCCUUGACAGAGAAAAGGCAGACAGUGAUUUUUUGGCGCUUGCGGAUUGAAGAAGACAACUCCCACAAUGCCAAUCAGCGUUCACUCCCUGAGGGAUGAAACAGCCAAUCAGCGUUCACUCCCUGCAGUCCAGCGUGAACCACAGCAUGGUGGAGAGGUGAUUGAUCAUUGAUGCCGUUCGCGGACUCCCGGAGAUCUAAAAAUUGAAAUUAAAAAAGGCAUGUAGGCUACCAGUCACAAAGGGAAACGAAAUAGUUGCCAAAUCGAUGACUGCUCACGCUCACACUCAUGUCAAAUCAUAUUUAUGUACACAAAUCCCAAUUUGCGUGAUUGUAUAGAAAAAAUAUCUGUCAUGUUUUGAUCGUUUAUUGAAAUGAAUGGGCGAAUGGUUCUUGCAACAAGGAAUUUUGGGACGGCGUUAUCUCCUUUCCUUUCGCUAAGGAUGACCCAGUGUACCCUAUGCUAAAGGAGAUAAGAAAGGAAGCAUUAUUUUAAGCCCCUUUCCUAGCAUUAAGAUAAUUUGAAAAGCAUUUAUCAUGGCUGACACUUAAAUACUUCCGGGUCCUUUCACUCGGUAAGGAAUCUUUAGGUCGAGAGGACCUUCAUCAUCACUGUUUGUUUUAUAUAUCUCUGAAAGGCUCUUUGAACCCUCAGAGGCAGAAAAGCCUGUCCUACGGCAGCACUGGUGUGGGGGCGUGGACCCAAGAGUCGUUAGACCGGCUUUCCUGUAACCAUAAAAGAAGCGGGUCGUGCGAUGUUCACGUCACUGUCCCGAAGACACAGCCUCGCAGCACAUAAACAAUCAUGGAUUUCAGUCUGGAGUCAGCCUGCGGCCCUGACGAGGUAAAGAAGAACGAUGCAAAUAGCACGGAGUUUUCCUUUUUCGGCAAAAAGGACAAAAAGGACAAGUCUGACUGCAAGGACAAGUCAAAGGACCACGACAAGAGCAAGGGAGACAAGAAACACAAGGAAGGUGGCAAGGAGCACAAGAAAGACAAGCAGCACAAGAAGAAGGACAAGGGGCACGGAGGAGAGAAGAAGCACAAGAAACACGGAGACGGGGAGCACAAGAAAAAGGAGCACGGAAGUGGCUCUUCUUCGUCAUCCUCUUCCUCCUCUAGUAGUGACUCGGACUAAAUACCUGAUGCAAGGAUGAGGAACAACAGUUCUCUGAGUACCUGUAACAUUUGCUACUGCUGUAUGUAUGCUGUCUGCCUGUGAACUAUACAUCUGUUGUUUCUUAACUGGCCUGGUGACAAAAUAUGUGUUCUUACUACAAUGUAAACUAAUAAAUGGUGCCUCGAGACAUGCUUGUUUCGUUUUUCUGUCCUGGAUUGAUAUGGGUUUUAACUAGGUUUUGCGUUUUAUUGGUUCAUGGUUUUGUAGGAUUACGCAAGCAAUUACAAUCACAAACAUUAUUUACUGUAUUAUAACGUUCACCGAUGGUCACGAGGUACAGCUUGAGUCAUGUUGCAUUGGCCUUUGCAUCAGUUAUAUCCCUGGAAGUAUUUAAACCUUCAAACAUUCAUUUUGUCCUGCAUCAACAUGGUCAUGUUGAAGCUGUCAACAAUGCUUGACAGAAAAAAACACACCUGACAGGAAUUCUUGGUGUGGCUCCAAGAUGUGGUGGAACCACAUCCCUGCCCCUCCCUCUUAAACAAGCAAAUCUACUUUCUCCAAGUCCUCUGUUCACGCCCUUAAUAAUCAUACUCUUCCUCAUUCUCGGCAUGAUGAAUAGAAGGUGUACAAUGGUAAAAACUUGAACUCUGACCUAUUCAUAGUCAUCCUCGAUGACUAUGACCUCCAUCCUAAGUUUUCAUAAAAAUAAAAUAAGGCUCAUUUUGGAACCAGAUACCCCAGGAACCCAUUCUCCACAUGAGGAAACAUUAGAACAGGAUUUAGCAGCAUGGACACUAGUGCACACCUACAUACCCCACCUCAUUCACUGGCCACAAUCCCAGCCCCCUCCACUCCCUCCAUCUGAUGGAUUAUGGAUCCACGGUUUCAUCAGCAACAAACCCUUGAUGUUGUGGUAAUGUGUCCCUUGCCAUUUUCCAACUGUGAAACUCAUUAUCCUCUUGGAAUAAAGAAUGAAUCAGAAUCGGUUGCAACUGAUGCCACAACCAACAUUGCACCUAUUGUGUCUAAAGUAAUACAUCUAGUUUACUAAUUUAUUACAUUGACAACACCCACACUUACACACAGGCCCACUCAACAACAGCUGUGGUCACCAAGAUGAUGACAAGGCAUACUCUCAUGUACAUAUGAACAUGACUAAUCUUAAGGUGCACGAGAUAAGAAUGCAGCAAUUUAGCGGACAGGCUUUAUAAGUGACAUUAAAUGGCUCGUGAGAAUGUGCAGCUCAGUGGAAAUACUAGAUCACCUUUAUGGACUCUUCUGCAGCUUAAAAAGACUAACAGAAACAUGAUCUAUUUUUUAAUGUUGUUACUGUUUUUCCCACUAGAUGGCAGCAUGUAACAGUCGGUUAUGUGUAACCUUCCAACCAUAAACCGCCUGAAGACGUUUCAGCAUUCACAAAUACUCAAGCAUUGAUGAUUGGCAAAUACAAGCAACAAAUAACGCGUAAGGCUAUUUAUACAUAUAUUUUCUAUU
ensembl:lncRNA